UGGAACCCUUCCACCCCGUUUCUUUCUCUUGUUGACGCUUUUCAUUCCAGACCAAGACAAGCACACAGAAACCAAAAAUUCUUUUGCAAGGUGAUAGAAAGGGAAGGCAGAGAAACAGGACGUCAGCCAAAAGUCAAAAUCACCACUUUACGUGAUUUCCCAAACGAGAGUUGAAUCCAUGGAGUUUUGUGUGCCAUUGCCGACAUCUGGAGUUCCCUGGACUUCUUGCCUUAUCAUUGCCUUGUUCCUUUGCUUCGUUGGACUUCUUGCCUUGAAGCUGUUGUGCUAACAGCAUUUUGCUGGGCUACUCGCAGCCAGAGGCUGCUGUGUGUGGGGUGUGUGUGUGUGUGUGUUUGUGUGUGUGUGUGUGACCGCUUUGCUCCAGGACUUGCCAUAAAUGUGGGAGCGUUUGGGGGAAAGUUGGAGCAAUAAAGGGAAUUUGAACUAUCA